AUCUAUAUAGCUUAUAGGAAGAGUGUUGCGUUGAAGUUGCAAAGGAAGUAAUUGUUACUUAUAGAUA
rnacentral:tRNA from 1 species